rfam:Candidatus Taylorbacteria bacterium RIFCSPLOWO2_01_FTLL_48_100 rifcsplowo2_01_scaffold_5720, whole genome shotgun sequence.
GCGGGCGUUGUAUAAUGGCAAUACGCGACCCUUCCAAGGUUGAGACGCGAGUUCGAUUCUCGCCGCCCGCA